ensembl:miRNA
GGCGCCGCCGGGGCACGGGCUGGGCUGGGCUGGGCAGCGGAGCGCGGCAUCGCGGCUGCUCCCGUCCUUUUCUUCUUCCUGCCCUUCGUAACCGCU